GUAAGAUUCACCCUUCUUAAACAGAAUUAGAAGCACCUCUGCAACUUUGCUGCAGCUUCUGAUGAGGGACAACAUCCUUUAUUUCCACCACCGCCCCCUCACCCAAAGCAGCACAUUUGUAACCUAAACCUCACUUUGCAUGCAACAGAAUUCUUCCAAAGAUACUCAUAAAUUUCUCUGCCCUGUUUAAGCAUAUAAUAACCUCCUAUGGUCCUGGAUGUAAAGAAAUAUUGCUAGUCCUAAACUGCAGGUAUGGAGGCAACUGUGUAUAUUUAACCAUUAUCAAAUUGCAUUUGUUCUUCAUUGUCUGCAGAAAGAUAGUACUUUCAGCCACAGGAAGAAGAUACUAUUUAUACCACAGGACCCAAAUUGUCACCUGCGAUGUUUUAAGAACAGCUGUUGAAAACAAAGAAAUGAGCAAGAAGUGAAAUGGCUGCAGGUUGCCAUAGAUUCAAGGGUAUGACCUGUGCAUAUUUAUGGGAUAAAAGGAAAUAUCAGGAUUGGUUUCAGCUGAUGCUAGCAACUUUGGGUUGACAAGGUAGAGAAGGUUAUUCUGCAUAGGAUUACAGCCCAAACUGAUGAAUUGGUUGACUGGGAGUAAAGUAUGCCAUCUACUUUCAACUCCAGGAACCUCUAUUGAACUUCAUAAAGCAAAGUUAUGACUGUUGCCUGAACUUCGUGGAGCACAAAAGGACACCUGAAUAAAACAUGCAAAGAUCA